rnacentral:rRNA from 1 species
CUACGGGAGGCAGCAGUAAGGAAUAUUGCGCAAUGGGCGAAAGCCUGACGCAGCGACGCCGCGUGGGGGAUGAAGGUCUUCGGAUUGUAAACCCCUUUCGGGGGGGAAGAUGGAAUAGGGUAACCUAUUCGGACGGUACCUCCAGAAGCAGCCACGGCUAACUUCGUGCCAGCAGCCGCGGUAAUACGAAGGUGGCAAGCGUUGUUCGGAUUUACUGGGCGUACAGGGAGCGUAGGCGGUUGGAUAAGCCCUCCGUGAAAUCUCCAGGCUUAACCUGGAAAGUGCAGAGGGGACUGUUCAGCUAGAGGAUGGGAGAGGAGCGCGGAAUUCCCGGUGUAGCGGUGAAAUGCGUAGAGAUCGGGAGGAAGGCCGGUGGCGAAGGCGGCGCUCUGGAACAUUUCUGACGCUGAGGCUCGAAAGCGUGGGGAGCAAACAGGAUUAGAUACCCCAGUAGUCC